GGUUGGCUCAGUUGGUAGCGCGCUCCACUGGCGAUGGGGAGGUCCCUGGUUCGAUACCAGGACC
rfam:Ixodes scapularis strain Wikel colony gcontig_1108378537812, whole genome shotgun sequence.